rnacentral:rRNA from 1 species
ACGAAGGGUGCAAGCGUUACUCGGAAUUACUGGGCGUAAAGGGUGCGUAGGUGGUUUUUUAAGUCUGCUGUGAAAUCCCCGGGCUCAACCUGGGAAUGGCAGUGGAUACUGGAAAGCUGGAGUGCGGUAGAGGGUAGUGGAAUUCCCGGUGUAGCAGUGAGAUGCGUAGAGAUCGGGAGGAACACCAGUGGCGAAGGCAAUCCCCUGGGCCUGCACUGACGCUCAUGCACGAAAGCGUGGGGAGCAAACAGGA